UAGGGAAUUUUCCACAAUGGGGGCAACCCUGAUGGAGCAAUGCCGCGUGAGAGAAGAAGGCCUUCGGGUUGUAAAUCUCUGUUAUAAGUGAAGAAAAGUACAAGUAGGAAAUGGCUUGUAUCUGACAUUAGCUUAUCAGAAAGCCACGGCUAACUACGUGCCAGCAGCCGCGGUAAUACGUAGGUGGCGAGCGUUAUCCGGAAUUAUUGGGCGUAAAGGGUGCGCAGGCGGUUAUAAAAGAUUGUGGUUAAAGAAUGGGGCUUAACUCCAUAAUGCCAUGAUAACUGUAUAACUAGAGUGCAGAAGAGGAAAGUGGAAUUCCAUGUGUAGCGGUGAAAUGCGUAGAUAUAUGGAGGAACACCAGUGGCGAAGGCGACUUUCUGGUCUGACACUGACGCUG
rnacentral:rRNA from 1 species